rnacentral:ncRNA from 1 species
UAAUAAUUUGGUUAUGGUUAUAUAAUUAGCUACUUCAUUAAAUUACACAUGCAAAUUUCUGUGCCCCCGUUAAUCUAAACUAAAAUCUUAAUGAAAUAUAUUUCUUUUAUUAGACCACUACAAUAAAGAUUACGCCUGCAGUGAAAAAUACUGAUUUAAUUAUGAAAAUAAGAUACGGUAAAUGAAACAAGGACUGACCAAAUUCGUGCCAGCAGCCGCGGUUAAACGAUAGGUUCUAGCUAAUUUUUACGGAGACAUGAAACAAAAAAAAGAUAAUAAAAAAUAUAAAAAGGUACAAUUUUAACACCAAAUAAAUGCUACUAUCACUUAAACUAUUCAACAAAGUUAAGACCAAAACAAGGAUUAGAUACCCUUCUAUUCUUAACCUCAAUAUAAAUAUCUCCUGGCACUACGAGUACAUACUUAAAACCUAAGAACUUGGCGGUGUUUCAACAUACUAGGGGAGCCUGUUUUUUAAUCGAUAACCCACGUUUACCUCUACCUAAUCUUGCAGUCCAGCCUGUGUACUGCCGUCCAAAGUCUACAUAGUAAUAUUGUAGACUAAAAAGAUUAUCCUUAACAUGUCAGGUCAAAGUGCAGCCUAUGAUUAGGUUAAAAUGGGCUACAUUUUUUAAAUAUUCAAAUUACAUCUUAAAAACUGUAUAAAGAUGGACUUAGCAGUAAAAAUUAAAUAAAAUAUUAUAUUGAAGAAGCUAAAUGAAACAUGCACAAAUCGCCCGUCGCUCUUUCUGAAAAGGAAGAUAAGUCGUAACAUAGUUAGUGUAAUGGAAAUUGCACUUAUCAAGAU